rnacentral:rRNA from 1 species
GACAGAGGAUGCAAGCGUUAUCCGGAAUGAUUGGGCGUAAAGCGUCUGUAGGUGGCUUUUUAAGUCUGCCGUCAAAUCCCAGGGCUUAACCCUGGACAGGCGGUGGAAACUACCAAGCUGGAGUACGGUAGGGGCAGGGGGAAUUUCCGGUGGAGCGGUGAAAUGCGUAGAUAUCAUUUGGAACGCCAAAGGUGAAAACAGACAGCUGGGGAUGUGCUGACGCUGAGACACGAAAGCCAGGGGAGCGAACGGG